rnacentral:rRNA from 1 species
GGGCUUUGCCCACCGGCGGACGGCUCAGUAACACGUGGACAACCUGCCCUCAGGAGGGGGAUAAUCCCGGGAAACUGGGACUAAACCCCCAUAGGUCACAGAGGCUGGAAGGCGCUGUGACCGAAAUUCCGAAAGGAGCCUGAGGAUGGGUCUGCGGCCUAUCAGGUUGUAGUGGGGGUAACGGCCCCACUAGCCUACGACGGGUACGGGCCCUGAGAGGGGGAGCCCGGAGAUGGACUCUGAGACACGAGUCCAGGCCCUACGGGGCGCAGCAGGCGCGAAACCUCCGCAAUGCUCGAAAGAGCGACGGGGGGACUCCGAGUGCCUACGCUUUGCGUAGGCUUUUCCCGAGUCUACAAAGCUCGGGGAAUAAGGGCUGGGUAAGACGGGUGCCAUCUGUGAUGGCAGUCAAAGAUUUGGCUUGCCGUUGCAAGGCAUAAGCCGCCGCGGUAAUACCCGCAGCUCGAGUGGUGGCCGCUUUUAUUGGGCCUAAAGCGUCCGUAGCCGGUCUGGUAAAUGCCUGGGUAAAUCGUAGGGCUUAACCCUGCGGCCCCCAGGUAGACUGCCAGACUUGGGACCGGAGGAGGGAGAGGGUACUCCAGGGGUAGGGGUGAAAAAUGCCCUUUCCGUUAACGCUUUGUGCGAAGCAGAAAGGGUUAUCACAAUCCUGUAAUCCCUGGAGGACCACCGGUGGCGAAGGCGCUCUCCUAGGACGGGUCCGACGGUGAGGGACGAAAGCCAGGGGAGCAAACCGGAUUAGAUACCCGGGUAGUCCUGGCCGUAAACGAUGUGGACUUGGCAUUGGGAUGGCUACGGGCUGUCCCAGUGUCGUAGGGAAGCCGUUAAGUCCACCGCCUGGGGAGUACGGUCGCAAGGCUGAAACUUAAAGGAAUUGGCGGGGGAGCACUGCAACGGGAGGAGCGUGCGGUUUAAUUGGAUUCAACGCCGGAAAGCUCACCGGGGGAGACUGCCAUAUGUGAGCCAGGCUGAAGACCUUGCUCGAAUAAUAGGCAGAGAGGUGGUGCAUGGCCGUCGUCAGCUCGUACCGUAAGGCGUUCUGUUAAGUCAGGUAACGAGCGAGACCCCCGCCCUUAGUUGCCACCUGUCCCUCCGGGGACAGAGCACACUAAGGGGACUGCCGGCGAUAAGCUGGAGGAAGGAGGGGGCAACGGUAGGUCAGUAUGCCCUGAAUCCCCCGGGCUACACGCGCGCUACAAAGGCUGGGACAAUGGGUUGCGAUGCCGAAAGGCAAAGCUAAUCCCUAAACCCAGUCGUAGUUCGGAUCGAGGGCUGAAACUCGCCCUCGUGAAGGUGGAUUCCGUAG